rnacentral:rRNA from 1 species
GAUGAACGCUGGCGGCGUGCCUAAUACAUGCAAGUCGAGCGAACGGACGAGAAGCUUGCUUCUCUGAUGUUAGCGGCGGACGGGUGAGUAACACGUGGAUAACCUACCUAUAAGACUGGGAUAACUUCGGGAAACCGGAGCUAAUACCGGAUAAUAUUUUGAACCGCAUGGUUCAAAAGUGAAAGACGGUCUUGCUGUCACUUAUAGAUGGAUCCGCGCUGCAUUAGCUAGUUGGUAAGGUAACGGCUUACCAAGGCAACGAUGCAUAGCCGACCUGAGAGGGGGAUCGGCAAACCUGGAACUGAGAACCGGCCCAGACCCCUAGGGGGGCAGCAGUAGGGAAUCUUCCGCAAUGGGCGAAAGCCUGACGGAGCAACGCCGCGUGAGUGAUGAAGGUCUUCGGAUCGUAAAACUCUGUUAUUAGGGAAGAACAUAUGUGUAAGUAACUGUGCACAUCUUGACGGUACCUAAUCAGAAAGCCACGGCUAACUACGUG